CCCACGUCUUCAUCCCACCUCAGCUUGCUGCCACGCCAUGGAGGUGGUCGCUGCCCUCAACGUCCGCGCCCUCUACUCCCCUCCCACCUCCCUCCUCUCCUCUCCCUCCCCUUGCCUCCACCUUGCCGCCCACGCGCUCACCUCCCCCGCGCCUUCGCCCCCACCAUCCCCAAGUAGCACUUCCUGACCCCCAAUUCAGACCUCAUCGGUGGCCGCGGCUCCAGGGAUGGCGUCGCGAUGGUAUGAGGAGCUACGCUUGGAUCUGCUCCCUAGCCGAAUCUGCUCCAUGGCUCAUCCAGCUGAGUAAUUUGAUUGUCGCAUUCUUGCUUGAGAGGUUAUCUCGUUCCCGAGGGGAACGACGUUUGAGCGGCCGCCGCCGGAUUUAGUAUCAUUCCUUUAGAAGAACAGAAUCAUGUACCUGGUCAUCACUAGGCUCCUCAUUGGAGCGAUCAAUUUUGCACCUGGAUCUGAUCUGCUCUCAUCUUUAUUUCCCUGAUCUACGAUCUUACAUGUUGUAGUGCCUUUUUUUGUGUAAACUGUCAAAUACUACUAGUCUAGUUGCACAUAUAGUAGUCUCGGUUGAAUAUAAUCAUCGGAAAGUUGCACAAUAUAGUGAUAUUAAAAUGGCUAGAUGAUGUUUUCGCUUAAGUUAAUUUAUUUUUGCUAGUCACAUUUUUGGUUGGCAUCCACAGUAGUUGUAGUUGCACACAUGAUAUCUCACGCUCGUAUUACUUACUCAAGUAUAGCUAGACGCGCGACCAACUACUACUAUAAACUGGAAGAAUGUUGCACACGCACGACCAUGAAGUUGCACACUCUCGUUGGUAUAGUCGCACGCAUGCGACCGCUUGAAAUAAGUGUUUUCUUUAGUCAGCUAACACUGUAACGCUUGUAUGUUCUGUAAAUUAUCAAUCUUGAAUUUUCUGAAGAGCAUAGAAAGAGUUGCACAACCAUAUUUUCAGAGUUGUGCAUUGACUACCAUGCAGUUGGUCGGGGUUGUUGUCAAAGUUGCACAUCCUACAGGUAGGGAUUUGCUUAAGUUGAUCUAUUUUUGCUAGUCACAUUUUUUGUGGCAUCUGCAGUGUUGUAGUUGCGCAUAUAGUAGUUCUCAGUUGGAUAUAACCAUGAAAACUUGUACAACACUGUGGUAAACUGGAAACAUGUCGUCCUACAAGUAGGCCUCAUCGCCCAGCUUUUUUGUAACUAGGCAGGUCCCCUUAUCCAAGUUGUUUUGAAUGUUCGGUGAAGGAGAGGUGCCUGGCAGUGAAAUAGAGGGUUCUCCAAAUAGGACCUCUUGGCGAACUCAAAACGUGCUGCUAAGCGGCAACCAUGUGGCGCUGAUAAUGACGUGGAUGGAGAGGAUGAUGACGUGUCCCAGAGAGUAUCUAAAUGAGCUGGCAUCCUCAGGCUUUUCUAGUUGUACAAGAGUACCUAAUUAGUUGGCAUCCUCAACAUUUCUAGUUCCAUAAUACCAUCCAACUAGUUGACAUCCUCGGUCUUUUUGUAGUUGCAUCACACCCUCAACAUUUUCUUCUAGAAGCCUGAAACCUGGAUGUGCAUUUUUUUGGUUAGUCAUGCAAGUACUGAAUAUUUCUUUUACCAAGAAUAUCUAAUUAAUUGGUAUCCUCAAUGAUAGAGGCGGGGGUAGUCAUGUCCUCAUCACUCAAGAUUUAUAGUUGCACAAGAGUAUUCAAUUAGUUGGCAUCGACAACAUUUCUACUUGCACAAACAGUAUCCAACUAAUUGACAUCCUCAACCUUUCUAGUUGCACAAGAAUAACUAUUUUUUUAGUCUCAUCUUCAACUUUUUAAGGGUUGCCCAAGGGUAUCUAAUGACUUGGCAUCCUCAGCCUUUCUAGUUUCACAUGAGUAUUUAAUUAGUUGGCAUCCUAAGCAUUUUCUAGUUACACAAUAACAUCUAACUAGUUGACAUCCUCAGCCUUUCUAGUUGCACAAGAGUAACUAUUUUAGUUGACAUCUGCAUUUUGUAGUUGCACAACUAACAUAAUAUCAAGUUGGAAUCGUCAACCUUUUUUAUCCAGUUUUUUUGAAGAAGAACAAAUAUUUUGUGUGCAGUGUUAACUAAUCACCUUUGGCUCCUUUGGUUUUGCAAAACCGUAGGUCAUCACGUCGGAAUGUGAUCACCUUUGGCACCUUUUAUUGAUGACAAGAAAAAGAAUGUCAUCUUCUUUUCUGUUUCACCUUUAGUAACAUCCUAUAGAACAUAUUCCCCCUAUUGCAAUUUGUGUGAGACAAGCCUAUUUGUACGCUCGUUUUUAAUACCGUUCUUGUGCUUUUUCUAGUUUGGUUUCUUUGAUGCACACAUUUACAGCAAAAGUUGGGCUUUGUUUACAAGUUUAGUUGCACAAUUAUAUGUUUAUAUUUGCAGACAACAAACCCAGUUUUUUUUAGUUUCAUCUAGUCUGUGUGUUGGUUGAAGGGGAGCCUUGGCGCAGUGGUAAAGCUGUUGCCUUAUGACCAUGAGGUCACGGGUUCAAGUCCUGGAAACAGCCUCUUACAGAAAUGUAGGGAAAGGCUGCGUACUAUAGACCCAAAGUGGUCGGACCCUUCCCCGACCCUGCGCAAGCGGGAGCUACAUGCACCGGGCUGCCCUUUUUUUUUAGUCUGUGUGUUGGUUGCACACAUUUUUUGCAAGAAAAGAUGGACUGAAUGUAGUGUUUGUGCAAAUAGAAGCCCAUAUUUGUGCCAACUAAACAUGGAUCCAAAACCAUCUUUUCCUGCAAUGUGUGCAACCAACAGCCAAAAGAUUAGAACAGAUGGUCUCUAGUCUGAGUUGUUUUGUUGCACAUUUGCAUAAAAAGGUUGGCUUGGACCCAUGCUUAGUUGCAUAAAUAUGUUCAGAAACAGUACACCCAGUCCAUAUUUCUAGUUUGGGAUGUUUCCUUUGCACACAUGUUGCAGGAAAGUUGGUUAUGGACCAAUGGCUUAGUUGCACAAAUAUGUGCUUCUUUUUGCACAAACAGUACACCCGAUCCAUCUUUCUAGUCUGGGUUGUUUGUUGCACAUAUUUUGUAGGAAAGUUGUCCUUGGAUUAAUGCUUAGUGUGCACAUAUAUUUACUCCUUUAUAGUUUUGGUUGUUGGUUGCACACAUUGCAGGAAAAGUUGGCUUGGAUCCAUGAUUUAGUUGCACAAAUAUGGGCUUCUAUUUGCACAGACACUACAUCCACUCCAUGUUUCUAGUCUGGGUUGUUUGUUGCACUUUUUUUGCAAAACUACUCCCUUGUGUCUAUUUGCACACAUCCAGGCAGAAGUUGGUUUUGCUACUGGUCUACUUGCAUAUAGUGGUGUUUAAUUACACAGAUAUCAGAUUAUUGUUGCUACUCCCUCCAAUUAUGGAGAAGAUCGGUGGUAGAUCCAAAGGCAAAGGGGAAGGGAAAGUGAAGAAGGGAGGAUCUGGAGCCAGAAGGGAACUUACCGUGAUUGAUGAUGCCUGCUCUGUAGGUUUUUGGAUCUAGGAUGGGAUCCUCUUUCUUUUAUGGAGAAGAAGAAGGAGAUGCCAUGGAGAGGAAGUGUGGGCGAGGGAGACGUGGGAUCCUCUUUUGUUUGAAAUAUCCCUCUUUGAUGAAAUUGAUGCUUGCUAUGCUUGUGGCCAUGAUGCCAAUAUGAAUUAUGCUUAUGGAGAUAAACUUGCUAUAGUUCCUUAUGUUUAGAAUGAAAUUGUUGCUAUUGCACCCAUACAUGAUAGUCCUAUUAUCUGUUUGAAUUCUCCAAACUACACUAUCUCGGAGAAGUUUGCGCUUAAUAAGGAUUAUAUUGUUGGGUUGCGUUUUA